rnacentral:rRNA from 1 species
GACGAACGCUGGCGGCGUGCCUAAUACAUGCAAGUAGAACGCUGAAGGAGGAGCUUGCUUCUCUGGAUGAGUUGCGAACGGGUGAGUAACGCGUAGGUAACCUGCCUGGUAGCGGGGGAUAACUAUUGGAAACGAUAGCUAAUACCGCAUAAGAGUAGAUGUCGCAUGACAUUUGCUUAAAAGGUGCAAUUGCAUCACUACCAGAUGGACCUGCGUUGUAUUAGCUAGUUGGUGAGGUAACGGCUCACCAAGGCAACGAUACAUAGCCGACCUGAGAGGGUGAUCGGCCACACUGGGACUGAGACACGGCCCAGACUCCUACGGGAGGCAGCAGUAGGGAAUCUUCGGCAAUGGACGGAAGUCUGACCGAGCAACGCCGCGUGAGUGAAGAAGGUUGUCGGAUCGUAAAGCUCUGUUGUAAGAGAAGAACGAGUGUGAGAGUGGAAAGUUCACACUGUGACGGUAUCUUAACAGAAAGGGACGGCUAACUACGUG